rnacentral:rRNA from 1 species
CACCGGCGGCCCGAGUGGUAAUCGUGAUUAUUGGGUCUAAAGGGUCCGCAGCCUGUUUGGUUAGUCCUCCGGGAAAUCUGACAGCUUAACUGUUAGGCUUUCGGAGGAUACUGCCAGACUUGGAACCGGGAGAGGUAAGAGGUACUACAGGGGUAGGAGUGAAAUCUUGUAAUCCCUGUGAGACCACCUGUGGCGAAGGCGUCUUACCAGAACGGGUUCGACGGUGAGGGACGAAAGCUGGGGGCACGAACCGGAUUAGAUACCCGGGUAGUCCCAGCCGUAAACGAUGCUCGCUAGGUAUCAGGCAUGGCGCGACCGUGUCUGGUGCCGCAGGGAAGCCGUGAAGCGAGCCACCUGGGAAGUACGGCCGCAAGGCUGAAACUUGAAGGAAUUGGCGGGGGAGCACAACAACGGGUGGAGCCUGCGGUUU